UGGGAAAUUUUGGACAAUGGGCGAAAGCCUGAUCCAGCAAUGCCGCGUGUGUGAAGAAGGCCUUCGGGUUGUAAAGCACUUUUGUCCGGAAAGAAAUCCUUGGCUCUAAUACAGUCGGGGGGAUGACGGUACCGGAAGAAUAAGCACCGGCUAACUACGUGCCAGCAGCCGCGGUAAUACGUAGGGUGCAAGCGUUAAUCGGAAUUACUGGGCGUAAAGCGUGCGCAGGCGGUUUGCUAAGACCGAUGUGAAAUCCCCGGGCUCAACCUGGGAACUGCAUUGGUGACUGGCAGGCUAGAGUAUGGCAGAGGGGGGUAGAAUUCCACGUGUAGCAGUGAAAUGCGUAGAGAUGUGGAGGAAUACCGAUGGCGAAGGCAGCCCCCUGGGCCAAUACUGACGCUCAUGCACGAAAGCGUGGGGGAGCAAAACAGGAUUAGAUACCCUGGUAGUCCACGCCCUAAAACGAUGUCAACUAGUUGUUGGGGAUUCAUUUCCUUAGUAACGUAGCUAACGCGUGAAGUUGACCGCCUGGGGAGUACGGUCGCAAGAUUAAAACUUAAAUGAAUUGACGGGGUCAUAGCUG
rnacentral:rRNA from 1 species